GACGAACGCUGGCGGCGUGCUUAACACAUGCAAGUCGAACGGUAAGGCCCUUCGGGGUACACGAGUGGCGAACGGGUGAGUAACACGUGGGUGAUCUGCCCUGCACUUCGGGAUAAGUCUGGGAAACUGGGUCUAAUACCGGAUAGGACCACUGCCUGCAUGGGUGGUGGUGGAAAGCUUUUGCGGUGUGGGAUGGGCCCGCGGCCUAUCAGCUUGUUGGUGGGGUGAUUGCCUACCAAGGCGACGACGGGUAGCCGGCCUGAGAGGGUGACCGGCCACACUGGGACUGAGAUACGGCCCAGACUCCUACGGGGGGCAGCAGGGGGGAAUAUUGCACAAUGGGCGCAAGCCUGAUGCAGCGACGCCGCGUGAGGGAUGACGGCCUUCGGGUUGUAAACCUCUUUCAGCACCGACGAAGCGCAAGUGACGGUAGGUGCAGAAGAAGGACCGGCCAACUACGUGCCAGCCGCCGCCGUAA
rnacentral:rRNA from 1 species